UACGGGGGGGGCAAGCGUUGUUCGGAAUCACUGGGCUUAAAGGGCGCGUAGGCGGUCGAUCAAGUCCGGGGUGAAAUCCUGCAGCUUAACUGUAGAAGUGCCUUGGAUACUGAUCGGCUCGAGGGAGGUAGGGGUCUGUGGAACUUCUGGUGGAGCGGUGAAAUGCGUUGAUAUCAGAAGGAACGCCGGUGGCGAAAGCGGCAGACUGGACCUCUUCUAACGCUGAGGAGCGAAAGCGUGGGGAGCGAACAGG
rnacentral:rRNA from 1 species